UACGUAGGGUCCGAGCGUUGUCCGGAAUUACUGGGCGUAAAGAGCUCGUAGGUGGUUUGUCGCGUUGUUCGUGAAAACUCACAGCUCAACUGUGGGCGUGCGGGCGAUACGGGCAGACUGGAGUACUGCAGGGGAGACUGGAAUUCCUGGUGUAGCGGUGAAAUGCGCAGAUAUCAGGAGGAACACCGGUGGCGAAGGCGGGUCUCUGGGCAACAACUGACGCUGAGGAGCGAAAGCGUGGGGAGCGAACAGG
rnacentral:rRNA from 1 species